UGAGGAACAUGACUUUCGGCGGGGGAUAGCCGGCCCAACGGCCGGGUAAUACCGCGUACGACCACAUGGGGACAUCCCUGAGUGGUGAAAGCAGCAAUGCGCCGAUGGAGUGCCUCGCGGCCUAUCAGCUAGUUGGUGAGGUAACGGCUCACCAAGGCGACGACGGGUAGCCGGCCUGAGAGGGUGACCGGCCACACUGGGACUGAGACACGGCCCAGACACCUACGGGAGG
rnacentral:rRNA from 1 species